rnacentral:rRNA from 1 species
AUUGAACGCUGGCGGCAGGCCUAACACAUGCAAGUCGAGCGGAUGAAGGGAGCUUGCGCCUGGAUUCAGCGGCGGACGGGUGAGUAAUGCCUAGGAAUCUGCCUGGUAGUGGGGGAUAACGUCCGGAAACGGGCGCUAAUACCGCAUACGUCCUGCGGGAGAAAGUGGGGGAUCUUCGGACCUCACGCUAUCAGAUGAGCCUAGGCCGGAUUAGCUAGCUGGUGGGGUAAAGGCCUACCAAGGAGACGAUCCGUAGCUGGACUGAGAGGAUGAUCAGUCACCUUGGAACUGAGACACGGUCCAGAGUACUAAGGGAGGCAGCAGUGGGGAAUAUUGGACAGUGGGCGAAAGCCUGAUCCAGCCAUGCCGCGCGUGUGAAGAAGGUCCUCGGAUUGGAAAGCACUUUAAGUUGGGAGGAAGGGCAGUAAGUUGAUACCUUGCUGUUUUGACGUUACCAACAGAAGAAGCACCGGCUAACUUCGCG